GACGAACGCUGGCGGCGUGCUUAACACAUGCAAGUCGAACGGAAAGGCCCUGCUUGCAGGGUACUCGAGUGGCGAACGGGUGAGUAACACGUGGGUGAUCUGCCCCGCACUUCGGGAUAAGCUUGGGAAACUGGGUCUAAUACCGGAUAGGAACCAUCUUUAGUGUGGUGGUUGGAAAGUUUUUUCGGUGUAGGAUGAGCUCGCGGCCUAUCAGCUUGUUGGUGGGGUAAUGGCCUACCAAGGCGGCGACGGGUAGCCGGCCUGAGAGGGUGUACGGCCACAUUGGGACUGAGAUACGGCCCAGACUCCUACGGGAGGCAGCAGUGGGGAAUAUUGCACAAUGGGCGCAAGCCUGAUGCAGCGACGCCGCGUGGGGGAUGAAGGCCUUCGGGUUGUAAACUCCUUUCGCUAGGGACGAAGCUUUUUGUGACGGUACCUAGAUAAGAAGCACCGGCUAACUACGUG
rnacentral:rRNA from 1 species